AAAAAAUUCUGCAGACUAAACCUGGUGGGGAUGGAAUCAUCAGAGAGUACAACAAAACCAAAUGCUUAUCUGACAGCAACAGGAGAAAGAUGGUCAAUAUUCUUACUGCAGAUAUGACUGAAAAGCACAGCUCAUCUCCACCCAAACAAGAGAACUGUAUGCUCAAGGAAUCAUUGCCCUGUUUCCAUAUCUUAGGGAUCCAUAUGCAAAGCUUGGUUAUGAACAUUAUUAUGACCCUCAAAGUGGACAAGGGUACUUGUCAUGGAAAAUAAAGAACAUUCAGAGGAACAGUGCACCAUCAGAGAUCCGUAGAUGUGUCCCCCAGUCUUUUGGUGGCCCAUCUGCGCAGAGAGAAGCUUCAUUCAGCACAGAAGUUAUCCUGACCGAAGAACAGUAUAGGGAAGCUGUUUCUCUUAUGAAGCAUACUUCAGAGGAGGUGACAGUAAAGGUCAAGAUGAGGGAGACAUUUCAGUAUCGUCGCAAGAUGGUUCAUGACCCAAGCAGAUGCACUGAUGUGCUAACUGAAUUUCCACGUUAUUUGGAUAUUAAAGGCCUGGUAAGAACAUUUGAGUUAUUAAUGUGAUUUAGAUUAUUUUUCUGUGAAUUAAGGACAAUAGAGAAUAUCUGUGGUGAUUUAAAGUUAUAUUGAUUAUGCAUUGUAAAGAUAAUAAAUUUGCCCUUAGUUGCUUUUUUUUCUGCUUUGUUGGGUUUUACAGAUUGAGCUGGACAUUGAUUUGCCAGUGUUUUUUAAAAUCAAAGAUAUUGUUGUUAAAAAUGAAUUUGUGGUACUGGUUGCAUCACCACUCAAAACUGUUUGCUUUGAUGAUCAUCGUUAUGCCUACAGAAUUGAACCAAGACACUGUGAAUCCUUGAAAGUGUUCAAUGUCACUGAACUAAUUUAUUACAAACCUUUUGAUAUGCAAAUGUCUUAUGGGUCUGAUAAUUUCUUUUGGUUUGUUGUACCUUACUGCAGUCUUGUUACUACUUAGCUGUCAAUGCAGGUCUUAUUUCAAAAUGUUUUUAUUUUAUCAUUUUGACAAGUCGGAACUGUAUACAUGUUUUAA